rnacentral:rRNA from 1 species
CCUACGGGAGGCAGCAGUGAGGAAUAUUGGUCAAUGGACGCAAGUCUGAACCAGCCAUGCCGCGUGCAGGAAGACGGCUCUAUGAGUUGUAAACUGCUUUUUUACGAGGGUAAAUCCCGAUACGUGUAUCGGGUUGAAAGUAUCGUACGAAUAAGGAUCGGCAGACUCCGUGCCAGCAGCGGCAGUAAUACGGAGGAUUCAAGCGUUAUCGGGAUUUAUUGGGUUGAAAGGGUGGGCAGGGGGUCUGUUAAGUCAGCGGUAAAAGCCCGGGGCUCAACCCCGGCCCGCAGUUGAAACUGGCAGUCUCGAGUUGGGGAGAGGUAUGCGGAAUGCGGGGUGUAGCGGUGAAAUGCAUAGAUAUCGCGCAGAACUCCGGUUGCGAAGGCAGCAUGCCGGCUCCACACUGACGCUGAGGCACGAAAGCGUGGGUAUCGAACAGGAUUAGAUACCCGAGUAGUC